rnacentral:rRNA from 1 species
GGGCCCGCACAAGCGGUGGAGCAUGUGGUUUAAUUCGAUGAUACGCGAGGAACCUUACCAGGACUUAAAUGCAUAACGAUCGGUUGAGAAAUCAACUUUUCUUCGGACGGUAUGCAAGGUGCUGCAUGGUUGUCGUCAGCUCGUGCCGUGAGGUGUCAGGUUAAGUCCUAUAACGAGCGCAACCCCUAUUCUUAGUUGCCAGCGGUUCGGCCGGGGACUCUAAGAAAACUGCCAGCGCAAGCUGUGAGGAAGGUGGGGAUGACGUCAAAUCAUCACGGCCCUUACGUCCUGGGCCACACACGUGCUACAAUGGUAGGUACAAAGGGCAGCCACUUGGCGACAAGGAGCUAAUCUCUAAAACCUCAUCUCAGUUCGGAUCGAAGUCUGCAACUCGACUUCGUGAAGUUGGAAUCGCUAGUAAUCGC